rnacentral:lncRNA from 1 species
AAAGUAGGAAGGAAGGGAAAUUCUGUCCUACUGAAUACCAGGAUUUUCUAAUUUAAUUUAGCCCUCUGUUUUCACAGAAGCAACCAGUUUCCAGCCAGAAAGAUGGGACAGCUCUCUGAGUCUUCUUUCAUUCAAGCUGGAUUGGGGAAGGGAAAAAGAAAUCUCAGGGAGCCUUUUAUAACUUCUUGCCCUUGACUGACUAACUGCUCAGUCUUCAGCUUUUGCAUUCCGGAGUGAGUGUGGAGGCAUUGAGGUCUGCAGGAAUAAAUGAGAGAAGUCCAUAUGCCUCCAGGACUGGAUGACUGAAACAGCUGCAUUUGAAAGAAACACAAAAGAAGAUACUAAAUCCUGUCAUAUCAACCUCAACAGAAUGGGAAUCCUCUCAAAAGACCAGCGAAUAAGAAGUAUUGCCUGAGAGAGGACUAGGAUGAAGAGCUAGAAUUGUUACCACAGGUUCUUCCACCGCACCCAUAAUAACUGCUUACUUAUCUUCUCACUAGAAUGGUUUCUGGUCUCCAGGUAGUGGUGGGAGCUUGGAGAAGGAAGACCUUGGAAUGCAAAGUCUUGGGUUCUGAUUGAUAACUCUGUAUUUUACUACAUAUAGAGCUAUGAGCAAAUCCCCAAGUCUUGCUGAAAUUCAAUUUCCUUCUCUCAAAAGUAGGGAUAAAAAU